rnacentral:rRNA from 1 species
UACGUAGGCAGCAAGCGUUGUUCGGAAUUACUGGGCGUAAAGGGUGUGUAGGCGGUGCUCCAAGUCUGGUGUGAAAUCCUGCCCGGCUUAACUGGGAGGUGCAUUAGAAACUGGAAUGCUAGAGGAUGGGAGAGGUAAGCGGAAUUCCUGGUGUAGCGGUGAAAUGCGUAGAUAUCAGGAGGAACACCUGUGGUGUAGACAGCUUACUGGACCAUUUCUGACGCUGAGACACGAAAGCGUGGGUAGCAAACAGG